rnacentral:rRNA from 1 species
UACGAAGGGGGCUAGCGUUGCUCGGAAUCACUGGGCGUAAAGGGUGCGUAGGCGGGUUUUUAAAUCAGGGGUGAAAUCCUGGAGCUCAACUCCAGAACUGCCUUUGAUACUGAAGAUCUUGAGUCCGGGAGAGGUGAGUGGAACUGCGAGUGUAGAGGUGAAAUUCGUAGAUAUUCGCAAGAACACCAGUGGCGAAGGCGGCUCACUGGCCCGGUACUGACGCUGAGGCACGAAAGCGUGGGGAGCAAACAGG